GGAGGAUUGGGUGAGUGGCUUAAACCAGCGGUUUACUAAACCGCCGGGCGGUAAAACGCCCCGUGAGUUCGAAUCUCACAUCCUCCG
rnacentral:tRNA from 1 species